rnacentral:rRNA from 1 species
AUUGAACGCUGGCGGCAGGCCUAACACAUGCAAGUCGAGCGGAUGAAGGGAGCUUGCUCCUGGAUUCAGCGGCGGACGGGUGAGUAAUGCCUAGGAAUCUGCCUGGUAGUGGGGGAUAACGUCCGGAAACGGGCGCUAAUACCGCAUACGUCCUGAGGGAGAAAGUGGGGGAUCUUCGGACCUCACGCUAUCAGAUGAGCCUAGGUCGGAUUAGCUAGUUGGUGGGGUAAAGGCCUACCAAGGCGACGAUCCGUAACUGGUCUGAGAGGAUGAUCAGUCACACUGGAACUGAGACACGGUCCAGACUCCUACGGGAGGCAGCAGAGGGGAAUAUUGGACAAUGGGCGAAAGCCUGAUCCAGCCAUGCCGCGUGUGUGAAGAAGGUCUUCGGAUUGUAAAGCACUUUAAGUUGGGAGGAAGGGCGGUAAGUUAAUACCUUGCUGUUUUGACGUUACCAACAGAAUAAGCACCGGCUAACUUCGUG